CCUACGGGAGGCAGCAGUAAGGAAUAUUGGACAAUGCCCGCAAGGGUGAUCCAGCCAUGCCGCGUGCAGGAAGAAGGCCCUAUGGGUCGUAAACUGCUUUUACACCGGAGAAAACCUCCCUUCGUGAAGGGAGCUGAUAGUAUGGUGAGAAUAAGCAUCGGCUAACUUCGUGCCAGCAGCCGCGGUAAGACGAAGGAUGCAAGCGUUAUCCGGAUUCAUUGGGUUUAAAGGGAGCGUAGGUGGACUGAUAAGUCAGUGGUGAAAUCUUCGAGCUUAACUCGGAAAUUGCCAUUGAUACUGUUAGUCUUGAGUACAGUUGCUGUGGGCGGAAUAUGACAUGUAGUGGUGAAAUACAUAGAGAUGUCAUAGAACACCGAUCGCGAAGGCAGCUCACAAAGCUGUAACUGACACUGAGGCUCGAAAGUGCGGGGAUCAAACAGGAUUAGAUACCCUGGUAGUCCGCACCGUAAACGAUGAUUACUCGCUGCUAGAGGGCAACUUUUAGUGGCUUAGCGAAAGCGAUAAGUAAUCCACCUGGGGAGUACGCCGGCACGGUGAAACUCAAAGGAAUUGACGGCGNGAGAGNGCGAGGACGACACGAGGGAGAGG
rnacentral:rRNA from 1 species